UACGGGGGGAGCAAGCGUUGUUCGGAUUUACUGGGCGUAAAGGGCGCGUAGGCGGGUUCUCCAGUCAGGGGUGAAAUCUUUCGGCUCAACCGGAAAAGUGCCCCUGAUACUGAGAGUCUCGAGGGAGGUAGGGGCAUGUGGAACUUCCGGUGGAGCGGUGAAAUGCGUAGAUAUCGGAAGGAACGCCGGUGGCGAAAGCGACGUGCUGGACCUCUUCUGACGCUGAGGCGCGAAAGCCAGGGGAGCAAACGGG
rnacentral:rRNA from 1 species